GUUAAGCGACUAAGCGUACACGGUGGAUGCCCUGGCAGUCAGAGGCGAUGAAGGACGUGCUAAUCUGCGAUAAGCGUCGGUAAGGUGAUAUGAACCGUUAUAACCGGCGAUUUCCGAAUGGGGAAACCCAGUGUGUUUCGACACACUAUCAUUAACUGAAUCCAUAGGUUAAUGAGGCGAACCGGGGGAACUGAAACAUCUAAGUACCCCGAGGAAAAGAAAUCAACCGAGAUUCCCCCAGUAGCGGCGAGCGAACGGGGAGGAGCCCAGAGCCUGAAUCAGUGUGUGUGUUAGUGGAAGCGUCUGGAAAGGCGCGCGAUACAGGGUGACAGCCCCGUACACAAAAAUGCACAUAC
rnacentral:rRNA from 1 species